CCUACGGGAGGCAGCAGUGGGGAAUAUUGGACAAUGGGAGCAAGCCUGAUCCAGCCAUGCCGCGUGUGUGAAGAAGGCUUUCGGGUUGUAAAGCACUUUCAGCGAGGAAGAAAGCGUGCCGUUUAAUACCCGGUACGGACGACAUCACUCGCAGAAGAAGCACCGGCUAACUCCGUGCCAGCAGCCGCGGUAAUACGGAGGGUGCAAGCGUUAAUCGGAAUUACUGGGCGUAAAGCGCGCGUAGGCGGCGUGUCACGCCGGGUGUGAAAGCCCCGGGCUCAACCUGGGAACGGCAUCCGGAACGGGCAGGCUAGAGUGCAGGAGAGGAAGGUAGAAUUCCCGGUGUAGCGGUGAAAUGCGUAGAGAUCGGGAGGAAUACCAGUGGCGAAGGCGGCCUUCUGGCCUGACACUGACGCUGAGGUGCGAAAGCGUGGGUAGCAAACAGGAUUAGAUACCCUGGUAGUCCACGCCGUAAACGAUGUCGACUAGCCGUUGGGUCCCUUGAGGACUUAGUGGCGCAGUUAACGCGAUAAGUCGACCGCCUGGGGAGUACGGCCGCAAGGUUAAAACUCAAAUGAAUUGACGGGGGCCCGCACAAGCGGUGGAGCAUGUGGUUUAAUUCGAUGCAACGCGAAGAACCUUAC
rnacentral:rRNA from 1 species